GACGAACGCUGGCGGCGCGCUUAACACAUGCAAGUCGAGCGAAGCGGCGGACGGGUGAGUAACACGUGAUUAACCUGCCUUAGACAUUGGGAUAGCCUCGGGAAACCGGGAUUAAUACCAAAUGGUCUAAGAUGUACUCGCGUCCCAUUCGAUAGUUGGUGAGGGAACGGCCCACCAAGGCGGCGAUGGGUAGCCGGCCUGAGAGGGUGGACGGCCACAUUUGAACUGAGAAACAGUCCAAACUCUACGGGAGGGAGCAGUGGGGAAUAUUGCACAAUGGAGGGAACUCUGAUGCAGCGACGCCGCGUGAACGAAGAAGGCUUUGGAGUCGUAAAGUUCUUUUAUAUGGGAAGCGGUACCAUAAGAAAAAGCCCCGGCUAACUACGUGCCAGCAGCCGCGGUAAUAC
rnacentral:rRNA from 1 species